AUUAGUAUUUAGUUAUUGGUUAAUAUUUAUAUAAUAUGAUUAUUCUAUAGAUUAAUAAAAAGUGGAAUUCUUAUGUUAUUUUAUAGGUGUAUAAUAUUUGUAUAAGAGGCUAAAAAAUUUUAAAAAUAAACUAGGAUUAGAUACCCUAUUAUUUUAAAAUAUAAAUAAUGUACUAGGUUAUUAUAAGUUAAUUACUUUAAAUUUAAAAAAUUUGGCGGUAGUUUUGUCUAUUCAGAGGAACCUGUUUUUAAAUCGAUAUACCACGUAAAAUUUUACUUAUUUUGUGUAGUUUGUAUACCAUCAUUGUUAGAUAAUUUUUAAAGAAAAAUAAAUUAUUGUAAGGAGUUUAACUGAAAAAAUUAGAUCAAGGUGCAGCUUAUAAAUAAGUUAAAAUGGGUUACAAUAAAUUUAUAUUUAGACGAAAUAAUAUUUAAAAGAAUGAAAUUAGGAAGGUGGAUUUGAUUGUAAUUUGAGGUUUAAUAAGAUUAGGAGAAAUGAGCUCUAAAUUAUGUACAUAUUGCCCGUCGCUU
rnacentral:rRNA from 1 species